rnacentral:tRNA from 1 species
GCCUGGGUGGUGGAAUUGGCAGACACAGGGGACUUAAAAUCCCCUGCUUGCAAGAGCGUGCGGGUUCGAGUCCCGCCCCGGGCA